AAGUCGUAACAAGGUUUCCGUAGGUGAACCUGCGGAAGGAUCAUUAAAGAUUCACAACUGUGCGCUCCGGCUGCACGUUGUAUAAACCUCACACACAUCGUGCACAACCUCGGUCGCGGUCUUAAUUGACCGCCUCCGCCUUUCACAUGCAACAAGUAGUCUAGAAUGUAAAAACCAUAACAAAAUACAACUUUCAACAACGGAUCUCUUGGCUCUC
rnacentral:misc_RNA from 1 species